UUGCCUUGUACACACCGCCCGUCACACCAUGAGAGUCUGUAACACCCAAAGCCGGUGGGAUAACCUUUAUAGGAGUCAGCCGUCUAAGGUAGGACAGAUGAUUAGGGUGAAGUCGUAACAAGGUAGCCGUAGGAGAACCUGCGGCUGGAUCACCUCCUUUCUAAGGAAGGCGAAAGAUGAUGGAGAGUGCGAGAGCACUAAAGAGAAGUCAUCGAGAAAGCCAAGCGGAAGCACACUGAGAAACUUUGUUUAGUUUUGAGAA
rnacentral:misc_RNA from 1 species